AUAAUUUUUGCAACUGUUGUAAUACAAAAUAAGAAGGAAGGCAGACUGCUUGCAUAUUGAUCAGACUCACUGAGUGGUCUUCUUGCAUACUGGCUUUCUAGAUGAUGAUAAGCUCAAUGCUGACUGCUUUCUGCUCCUUGUGUUGGGAGCCUCCAUGCUCAAGCUGGUAGGUCUGGGUCUCCAAGUGCCCACCUUUAGAGCUAAGUGUCCAGUGUGCAAUGCUCAGCUGUGCCUGCCCUGCUGUUAGCCUGCCUUCCUGAGAUUCUGUGCUUGAAUGCAUUUGUUGCAGUUGUCCAAGCAGUGCUGGUGAAUAACAGCAAUGAUGGUGAUGGUGUUUGGAUGGUGGUAGUGUUUUACGCUGGCUGCUGCAGAAAAUCAGCUCCACUAGAAAAGAAAUAGUGGCAGUAUUUAUAGUGGCUUUUUCUUUUUAGGUUGACAGUGAAAUUGUACACAGGUGUUUUAAACACUGUCUCAUUCGAGACAUUCACUAGGAGCCAGUCCUGCUGUUUCCUGAGCAUGUCUUCCACAGCCAGCAAAAUCUCACAUCCUGCAGCCUGUGCUCUGCUGCCACAGGAGCUGUGCCCACCUCCCAGGCUGUCAGUUUGCUUCUUCUGUGCUUCUCCAUCAUCCUGUUGCAGCACCUCCUGAUGUCAGUAAGUUCAUGGCAGAUGGCUUCAAACACGAGCUUCAUCUUCAGUAGCUGUUCCUGAGCCAUGGACAUGGAAGAAGAGGAGUUUGGCACUUGGGUAUCUCUCCAGAAGCGAACCCUUUGCUGGCUGAGGAUUCCUGGUGUGCAGUUAGAGCUGUUUUGGCCGUUCCACCCCUUUCUUCUGCCAUCUAGUUUGUGUAUGGUCUUCCUGUACUUGGACAGGCUUUGGUCAUCCUCCUAUUCCUGGACCAGCAAAUAUUUAACAAGAGAAAUGUUUGCGCUGGAAAAAAAGUGUCUUAGGAUAUGUCUGAUGUGAUCCUUCAGCAGAUCAACAAGAUACAGUUAUGUGAUGAAGCAAUGAGCAGGAGAUAUAAACAGCUGCUUCAAUUCUCAAUGUUUUCAGUUCUGCAGCUUCUCCAGCCGUUCUAGUUCUGCAUGCUGGUUGGUUUUGUUGUCAUCUUUUAUGGAAGGUCACCUCCUUUAGAGGCUUCUUGUGCAGACUGAAAAUCCUGCAGAAGAACGUCGUGUUUCUAUUUGGAGGAUAGCUCUGUAUCCAUUACUUAAUCUGAAAAGGAACAGCAGGAUACACAAUCACAGAAGGGAUUUGAAAUGUUGAUAUGAGGAUCAGAAAAAGAAAUAGGAAGAUGGUAUCUACCCCAGGAGUUUGGAGAUGCUCAUGCUCUUGAGUUUUGUUGCAACACAAAAAUAAAGGGUGCGUGUUGUGGUCCUGCUCCUGACACAGCUCUUUUGCCACGCGGGAGGCUUCUGAGGAAGGCUUUGAUGUCCACCCUUCAGUGGAAAAAUGUGACUUGGGGGCGUGCAGUGGAUGGAAGGUGAAGAUAUUGUCUGAAGGAGUUUGGGAAUGCACCCACUGCUCUCUGGGCAUUCUGUGCUCCUUCCAGUUCUGUCAGUAGUGUUCUGAGGAGUUGUUCCUGCAGCUUUGCUCAUGCUGGUCCACAGCGUGAGGGGAAGAUUGGGUCAGGUCUGCCCUGCUUAGGAGCCUAGAGAAGCUGCUGAAGAAACUUCUAUGGAGAGUCCCAGUGAUGCCUCAUUCUCUGAAGAAAGAAACAAGAUGUUCAGGUGUAGCUGAAGUUGCCCUCCAGCUAACUGAAAAGCGUGGAAUCAAUGUUAUCAAUGUUAUCAAUAACUCUGAAGCACACAAAUCAGCAGUGGGUGUCAGAAGGGCCUGAAGUUUCAAAAGCAGACUGCAUGGGACCAUUGAAGAAACAGUCAGUUGUAAAUACACCCCAUGUGUGUUUUAGGCAAAGGUGGUCUCCAGCCCUUUCAAGCAGAAUUUCAAGUUGCUGAGCUCGUCCUCCAACACCCCUUGGCACUGCUCAGGGCAAUGCUUCCAUCACCAGGCUCUGGCUCAGUAGAACUGUCCAUCUUUGCUCUCAUCAUUUGGCCUGGGCACAGCUCAGCACCCAGCAAGUUCUCUCAUUCCUACUGAAGAGGUGGGAAUCCAGUGUUCAUCCUGCAUACCUGCUACACCUUCUGCCUGUGGGAGCAGCAGGCCUCCAUUUGCAAGAAGUGGGUUUGCUGCUUUUGUGCAGUUUAUUAAAGA